UUCGAGGUGGAAGCAUGGUGACAUGUGGAGCUGACGAAUACUAAUCGAUCGAAGACUUAAUCAAAUU
rnacentral:rRNA from 1 species